ACCAAUCCAUGAGAGGACCUUCCCUCUUAUCCCAUGACUGCUUACUUUGCUUAAUAGCUUUUGGUGAAGGACCUUGUCAAAGGCUUUCUGAAAAUCUAAAUACACUAUAUCCACUGGAUCCCCCUUGUACACGUGCUUGUUGACCCUCCUCAAAGAACUCCAUUCUGGUAGAUAGGUGAGGUGUCAUGUCC